GACUUGAACAAAAGAGGAGAUCGUUCUCCUCUUGGGUGAGAGACCUAGAACUGUUCUAGAUUUUUGGAUAAGAAAAAAAUCAAAGAGAAGAGAGUCUUCAUCUAAAUUUUCUCUAUCAUCCAAUAUUUAUUUCUGAUCUAUAUUCAAUAUCAAAAAAAUUUGAGAUGAUCGAAGAAGGAGAUCAAGUCAGAUCUAUCAUCAGAAGUCGACUGC
rnacentral:lncRNA from 1 species